GGAUGUUUGAGAUGUUGUAAAUAAACUUAAAUGAUUUUAUUUUCCAUACACGGGAGCUGGAUGCUGCUCUUUCUCAAGAAAACUGAUCACAGGCUCCAGCAGCUGGAACCAACUACACAUAUGGAAGGAGCAUUAAUUCUGAGACAAGCACCUAGAGCAGGACCUACCCUGCCCACUCAGCCAAUCAAGAGCCACAGUGCUCCUUUAAGACCAGUGACUGGCUAAGAGAUCUGAAGAAGAUUCAUUCAAUCAACUGAUUGCCACUUAUAUACAGAACUAUGGAAGGCUCUCCAACAUGCAUUAUGGUGCGUUCUUCAGAGAAAUGCCUUUCUGUGUUUGUAAUUACAGACAUAUAAAAAAAGAUUAUUCCUAGAUAAGCUGAAAUGCAUGUCAUAGCACCCAUAAAAAUCUUUUUUAUCCGCCCGCUCCGCUCCCUUUGGCUAGGCCAAUGCCAGAUAGAAGUAUGUAUUUCCAGGAGUCUUUAUGAGCAAUCAAUGUGUAAUGGAGUCACAAAUACUCUAUACUUGUCAAUGAUGUCUUUGUCUUAGAAAAUGGUUUUUAACUGCUCAAUAUCUUGUCAUACCCAAAAAGUAUUCAGACCUUUUACUAUGUAUUCUCGGCCGUGCAAGCGGAAAAGAAGACAAAUGACUUUAUCCCUGGCCGCCGCUAUCUGAUUUUACCUUGGCAAGGUCUUAAUUAUUUCCCUUUCAGUCUCAGAGGGAAAGGGAAUGAGAUAGACUGUAUCAGCGUAACCUCACUCCUGGGAAUAGGGAAACUUUACAUGGACUAUCGUUUGUAAGAGGCGCGACAAUGCAAUAAAAUAUAUCCAUGGUCUGGCUUUCUUCAUGUCCAGAAUGAACUGAGUCUGAUAGCAUUAAAUUCAGUAUUCAAAAGUGAACCCACGGCACAGAGUUACUUCAGAAUCAGCCUAAAGCAUAUUAUUGGUUGA